rnacentral:lncRNA from 1 species
AUGCAAAGCACAUCUGGCGCUAAGUCCAAAAUGCGCCCUCGGGUUCUCUCAGCCCCUCCACUGCUAUAUUCUUCUUCCUCAGUCUCUCUUUCUCAUCCGGAGACGCCUUUCCACCUAUCACGGUGGGCUGAUCUUCAAACUGCGAUUGGUUGUCAACCAGAUGUAACUCUAUUCACCAAACUAUCUCUCACAAUUGGAUGGUGGGGGUGGUUGGUAACCGCAUUUAAUCCUGGGCUGACAAUGGGAUUGGAUUCUUGGUUACACGGCCCUGCGCGGUCGCCCUGCGGUAAAUGGCCUCUCAGCCCAAACCCACCCUGGUUUACUGAGCAUGCCCAGACCUCCCUCCCGGGCCACCAAAGGAGGGGCACCAUUUCUGCAGGAUUUUGCCACUGUGGAAAGAGAGGCGGAGCUGUCAUCGCGCAGAGGCAGGGACUGAUACGCGGAAAGGACGUGGAGAUGGGAAUAAGUAAUGAAGGACCCGCAUUGACCGUGUUAGCACACAAAUCUAAUUGCCCUCUGGUGCAAACUUACCACCCUGUGGCCGUGGCUCAGCUACCUGCACACACACACCAAGUUCCUACACACCUUUCCCCCGCUUGGCCCCACACAAUUCAUGGCACUCACAGCCCACAUCCUACCUCCUUCUCCGCACCAGAUACGCACCCGCACUCACUCCCCAAACACGUGGCAUCUGGUAACCUGGGAAACGCCGCGGCGGUGGCGCAGUGCGCAACAGGGGCGGGGGAAUCAGGCGGGGCACUGGGGCGAGGGAAGCUGGAGAUUUGGGGAGGGGGUUUCUAUUUGUUUUUUCGCCCACUUUUUGUUUUUUGUUUUUUUGGUGGGGGAAGCAGAAUAAACCAAACCGCGACACGUUCCUGCGCCCUUCUUGGUGCAGUGGCGCAGACAUGGUCCAUGGCGCCUUGGGCAAUAGAGCAGGUCUGCACCCCCUCUCUAAGUCGUGGCACUGGGCUGGAAUUCCCGACUGCACCCUUUGCUACACCCCCAUAG